rnacentral:lncRNA from 1 species
CGGAGCGUCGCCCUAGUAGCGGUGGUGUUGCAGGAGGCGUGGCUCCUGUGUCAGCCUCCAACUUGGUCGUGUCCCCUUUCUGGCUCACCCUAUCUCUCUCUGACUAGAGAUUGCAGCAGUUUGAUCUGAGACUCACCCAGAAAUCUGGUCUAAGUGCAACUUCAGGGAAGUUCCUGGUGCUGUCGGGGUGUGGUGACAUAUGUCUUCAGCCCCUGCGUCCUGGAGACAGAUGCAGCUGGCUCUCUGAAUUGGAGGCCAACCUGGUCUACAAAGUGAGUGCCAAGCCAACUGAGGCUUCAUGGUGAGACUGUGUCUCAAACAAACAAACAAAAUCCAAGUUUGUAGCUAGCAAGUUGACUCAGUGGAAAAGGCGUUAGCUGCCAAGUCUGAUGCCUUGGGUUUGAACCCUGGAACCACGUGAUGGAGGAUCAAGCCCAGAAAGUUGUCUUCUGAUUUCCAUACACUUGCUGUAUGAUUUCCAUACGCCUGCUCACGUGGACAUGCCUAUGUCUGUGCCAGAAACAAAACAAAACAAAAACCAAAGAAGCAUGGAUGAACGUGAGUGCAGUUUACUGUUGUUUCUCUGGUACUCAAGAGAUCAGGAUCUCCUAUAAGCUAGGCAAACACUCUACCACUGAACCACAUCCCUAGAAUGUGAUAUUUGGAAAGAUUAUGAGAAUUCAAUAUUAUAUUACAAGAGUCAACUCACAACUUUUCGGUCAGUGUAAACUAGACAGAAAUACUGACAUAUCAUUAUCAUAGGCCUUUAUCGGCUAGCAAAAGGGACAAUAGAGGUGGCUGCCCACGUUCACAAGUGCCACAGGAUCAAACCUGUCUGCUUCCACGGUGUGGCCUUAGCCUUUUCUGGCUGCCCCAGGACGGUAAUACAGACUUGUUCUUGAUUCCUGUCAUAACUGAAAGGGAAACUUCCAUACCCUGUCUGGAGCCCUUGGUGCUCGGCAGAUGGAGGAAGACCCCUCAGAUUCCUUGUGCCCGGAGCCCACUCAGGUGGCACCAACCUUGACUUCCAGGUGGGAAGGGACAGCUGUAAGGUCUGCGUCAUAAAUCUGAAGGUAACCUGGGAGGAGCUGCCGGUGGUGGCUAGUGUCACUGCUGCCAUUGAAAAACCCGCUGCUGACAGCACUGCCUCCUCCAGGAGUGCCAGCUACCGCUGGACCCACGUCAGUUGCUGACUGUUCACUCCUGGGACCUUUACUAACCUAAUCCAAGCAGCCUUGCAGGAGCUACAGCUUCUGGUGCUGGCUGGUCUAGGACUGACCACAAGCUCUUCACAGAGUUGUCAACCUGCCUACCUUCUCUCCUCCAUGCUGUGUGGACACACUGCUGUCCCCCACAACAGCCCCAGGUCAGUGGGUAAACUGUAACCCAAGAAGUUCUGCACAUAGCAGACAUGUGACCCCAUGUCCUGUGAGCACCCAUGGGAAGCCAUGCCUGCUCUCCAUUUCCAUGGAGAUCCUGAAGAGACUGAGAAGGAAGAGGAGCCCACUGCCGGAAAGGCUAUAGCCAAGGAGUUUCAGGGACUGGAGAGAUGGCUCAGUUGUCAAGGGCACUGACUGCUUUUCUAGAGGUCCUGAGUUCAAUUCCCAAUAGUGGAAUUAAUCCCAAGGUUAGUACUUUUAGUGACUAAAGGUUAGUACGUGGGUCACACAUGUUCAUCUGACCCCAGCCAUCUGUAAUGGGACUGAUAUCCUCUUCUGGUGUGUCUGAAGAUAGUGACAAUGUACUCACAUGCAUAAAAAAAAUUUUUUUUUAAUCCCAAAGAAUGAAUAUAUAUAUAUUGGAGUUUCAGGGCAAAUAGACUACAGCAGCUCCUAAGGUCACUGCUGCUCAACCAGAGGUGUCAGACAAGUUCAAAGGAAUGUAGCUGCGCUCUGUGCUUACCUACAACUUCCUGAGUGAAGACUGGAGUUCCUGGCCAGCCUCUGAGGACUAUCUGCAGCUCCCGCUAUAUACUGCUAUACUGUAUACUAUAUACUGCGUACUGUAUACUGCUCAGGCCACUAUACUUGGUUGGAACAACAUGGUCAUAAACUGGUUUGCAGUCACUUAAGCAAAAUGGAGAGGAGGAAGAGGAUGAAAACAAACAGUCUUUGAAAACUGAAAAGCACAUGGCUUCAAUAGUGAAUAUCCAAGCCAGGCAUGGUAGCACAAGCCAGUAAUUCCAACACCCAGGAGACGGGAGGAGGAGAAUUAUAGGGCACUUUUGGCUACCUCAUGAGUUUAACGCAUCCUGGGGCUGCAAGAGACUCUGCCUCAAUGAAACAACCAAACCAAAUAAUUGAAAUUUAGUAUAAGUAUUUGGAAAGUGAACUUAAUUAUAUGUUUUAAUUAAUGAUGCUUGUAUAAUAACUACUAAUACUGGAGUAGCUGUGUAACAGCGCCCCACCCCCCCAGGCUGUCACACAACUUACACCAUAUUUGUGAUGCCAUUUUGACCUUAAAACCAGAACAUAAGGCCUAACAGCGCCAAAAUGGGAGCAGAAACCUAAAAACCUUGGUUCAUAGUUCCAGGAUUCAGGGAAGUCUCUAAAUGUACUAACCUUGCUUUGGGGCUUCUGUAGUUUUGCUUCUCACUAUUGAUGCUAACCAAAGUAUGUCAACCAGGAUCUGGGUUUUGCGCAAUAAAAGACAAAAGACUGUAAGAAUUGGGGCUGCUCAGUGUAGGAUAGUUCCCCAAGCAAUGGCUGUCUAGCAAUAAAGUCUCUCUAAUCAGUUUUACAAGUGAGUGUCCAUGUAUCUCUCUGGUGGGCUUACAGCUCCAAUUUUUACAGAAAGUUUUCCUAAGCCAGAAACGAAGACACAGCGGGGGGGGGGGGGUUGGGGGUUGUUGCAAAUGUCUUUGAUCUCAGUUCUCAGGCAUUAAAGGCAGGUGGAUUUCUAAGUUUUAGGGCCAGCCUGCUCUACAGAAUGAGUUCCAGGACAGCCCGAGCUACAUAGAGAAACCCUGUCUCAAAAGAAAGGAAGGCAGGCAGGCAGGCAGGCCAGCCAGAUAGUUCUUGGGAGGCAGAGGCAGGAAGGGAAGAUUACAAGUUCAAGGUCAUCCAUCCGGGAUAACCAGUGAGAACUUGUGUCCAAAGAAGCUGGUUGUGGUGGUUUUCGCCUUAGUGGGAAUCCUAGAAUUGAGAAGACAAGAGGUAGAUGGGUCUCUAUGACUUUGAUGCCAACCUGGUCUACAGAUGAAGUCCAGGCCAACAACUGGGUAGGGAUACCCUGUUUCAAACAGACAGAAAGGCUGGACGAGUUAGUGGGAGCUGUAACUUGAACACAGAGGAUGAGCCUGUAAUUUGAGCACUUGGGAGUGGGAAGAGAAGGAUCAGAGGAGUGAGGCCAUCUUCUACUACAGUGAUUCUCAACCUAUGGGUCAUGACCCAGUGGGAGGAGGGGGGCCAGGGACCAUUUUACAGGGGUUGCCUAAUACUACCAGAAAACAGAUACUUACAUUACGAUUCGAAACAGUAGCAAAACUGUUACGAAGUAGCAACAAAAAUAAUUUUAUGGGUGGGGUCACCACAGCAUGAAGAGCUGUACUAAAGGGUCACAGCAUUUAGGAAGGUUGAGAACCAUUGUUUUCCUACAUAGGCUUCCAUUCUUCCACACCUACUUUAAUAAGGGUUCCUAAACGCUUCAGCCUUCCUUCUAGUUUGCUACCCACCAGAGGUAGUGGAAAAGAAAGGUUAAUAGAAAAUGGGGGUUGUGGACCUGCUUAGAAAUAGUUCUCUGGGGCGAUUCCAAUCUUCGUUGUCAGCAGUCCAGUCUUCUAACAAAACACCAACAUGAAUCAGCAGCUGCAGUCCAGUCCACUCGGCAGCCACCACUCACGAAUCAGCAAGGACUGUUUGAUCCAGAAGAAAACCACAAGGCUCUGCCGAGCUACCCCGAGCCUGCAGAAGUGUCAAGAAGUAGCCAAGACAUUACAAGAAGUACUGCAUCAAGUUACUCUCUAUGAAGUCAUGGCAAGCAAAGAUCAGCAAAUCAAUGCAAGGUGAAUCAAUACUUGCAUGUCAUCAGUGGAGACUAUGGGGCAGAGCAAGGCUAAGCAAUGCCAGAGCCACCUCCCACUGUCUGCAGGGUCAUAGUUACAUUCUUUCUAACAUCUCAAGUCCUCUCAUGUGUCUGCUUCAGCAAAUCAUCCUUUCACCUGUCUGCCCCAGAAAAACAUUAUACGACAUAACCGAGUUUCCAAAGAAACCAGAAGUAUCCACUACAUCAGGGAGUUUGAGGCCAGCCUAGGAAACAGGAGACCCUGGUCAUACAACAAAAGUGUAGUCUAAUAAGCAUUUGCUAGCCAAGAAAAAAAUUACAGUUAUCUACAGUGCAUGACAUUGCCUUCCUUGGCGGGGUUGGCUAAUACUAGGACCUGUCCCAGUAAGUGGCUGAUCUCCUGGCCUGGAACUGAGCAAGGUGGUCAUUGAGAAGUUCACCAGGAAACCACUGUCAUCACGAAAGAAAGCCAGAGAGGGGAGGUGAUGUAUCACCUAGGGUUGAGGAAGUUGAGCACAGCUUAAAGGCACUGCUCAUCAAGAUCCACGUGUGCAAGAUGGCCCCAUGGAGGGUCACUGCAGUGACCCAGUUCCCUGUUUGCCCUGCAGGGUUUAAAAAAAAAAAGUGUCGUACUGUGAUUUCUGCACCAUUAGUACUGGUCAUGGGAUCAGACCACAUUAUCACCGUUGACCCGCAUGCCUAUCAGAUCCAGGGAGCCAUUGUUACCUGUAAUGACUUCUACAAGAGCCUGCUGUUCCACAGUAAAUUCAGGGGCGCGUUCCUGAGUGGAGGAACUGUAACGUCCUUCCCUGGGUGCAGGGAAACCAAAAUGGUCACCUCAAGUGUAAACAUCUUGACUGUGGAAUUUGCUCUGAUGGAUGAAGAGAAAGAAAAGGAAAUGAAGUGACCCCCGUGUCAUCGUGAUGGCUGAUACAGCUCGCACGUGUGUAUCACGUGUUGUCCACUGUGCCACCAGUUAAUGCUGUCCUCAUAGGACCUUCCCCUGCCAGCUAUUUCUAGGAUACUUCGUUGCUGCCUUUAUCACAACACUCCUAGAAGAGAGCAAAAUAAAAUUCUGUCCCAAGAUAGAAGCGACUAGAGGUUCAGUGGCCAUGGCUGAGGCCAUCUGAAGAACACACAGUGAGGAAUCUGCGUCCAGUCUGUUCCCGUGCUUCUCUUGUCCACAAUGGGGAGGCCUCUUCCAAGUUCUCUCUGUUUGUGUUUGUCUGCCGCUUUAGCACUGGGACUUGGCGCUGCUUGGAUCAUCAUUAGUAAAAGCAUCUAGUCUCUCUGUGUAUGCUGAGAUUUCUUGUCCACAGCACAACAAUUUCUUUCC